UAUUAUUCAAUCAUCUUGGGUGGGAAAACAUAGCCUUACAUAUUACAUGUGACAAUAUAGGGAGCAAUAACUUAUGGGGCUGACAUAGAUUUUUUUGACAGGGCUGCUUUGUAUCCCCAGUCCGGCCCUGGGAAGGAGCUCCAGGAGAGAGCAGUAUCCUGUAGACCAAGAUUAUGGAGAAUGAGAAAAAGCUGUUGAGGCAGCAGAAAGAUAAAGGAGAAUUAGGAUAGAGUAGUGGCCGCGAGACUUAGCAGCGAUAAAAUCGUUGGAUACUUUGGUCACAGCUGUUUCGACAGAGUGAUGAGCAUGGAAUCCAGACUAAAGCGGGUCAAGCAAAG